UGGAUCCAGACUUUGAUCCUGGCUCAGGAUGAACGCUGGCGGCGAGCCUAAUACAUGCAAGUCGAACGAAACUUCUUUAUCACCGAGUGCUUGCACUCACCGAUGAAGAGUUGAGUGGCGAACGGGUGAGUAACACGUGGGCAACCUGCCCGAAAGAGGGGGAUAACACUUGGAAACAGGUGCUAAUACCGCAUAACCAGGAACACCGCAUGGUGUUUAUGUGAAAGGUGGUUUCGGCUACCGCUUUCGGAUGGGCCCGCGGCGCAUUAGCUAGUUGGUGGGGUAAAGGCUUACCAAGGCAAUGAUGCGUAGCCGAACUGAGAGGUUGAUCGGCCACAUUGGGACUGAGACACGGCCCAAACUCCUACGGGAGGCAGCAGUAGGGAAUCUUCCACAAUGGGCGAAAGCCUGAUGGAGCAACGCCGCGUGGGUGAAGAAGGUCUUCGGAUCGUAAAACCCUGUUGUCAGAGAAGAAAGUGCAUGAGAGUAACUGUUCAUGUUUCGACGGUAUCUGACCAGAAAGCCACGGCUAACUACGUGCCAGCAGCCGCGGUAAUACGUAGGUGGCAAGCGUUAUCCGGAUUUAUUGGGCGUAAAGGGAACGCAGGCGGUCUUUUAAGUCUGAUGUGAAAGCCUUCGGCUUAACCGGAGUAGUGCAUUGGAAACUGGGAGACUUGAGUGCAGAAGAGGAGAGUGGAACUCCAUGUGUAGCGGUGAAAUGCGUAGAUAUAUGGAAGAACACCAGUGGCGAAAGCGGCUCUCUGGUCUGUAACUGACGCUGAGGUUCGAAAGCGUGGGUAGCAAACAGGAUUAGAUACCCUGGUAGUCCACGCCGUAAACGAUGAAUGCUAAGUGUUGGAGGGUUUCCGCCCUUCAGUGCUGCAGUUAACACAAUAAGCAUUCCGCCUGGGGAGUACGACCGCAAGGUUGCAACUCAAAUGAAUUGACGGA
rnacentral:rRNA from 1 species